AUUGAACGCUGGCGGCAUGCCUUACACAUGCAAGUCGAACGGUAACAGGUCUACGGAUGCUGACGAGUGGCGAACGGGUGAGUAAUACAUCGGAACGUGCCUAGUAGUGGGGGAUAACUACUCGAAAGAGUGGCUAAUACCGCAUGAGAUCUACGGAUGAAAGCAGGGGAUCGCAAGACCUUGUGCUACUAGAGCGGCCGAUGGCAGAUUAGGUAGUUGGUGGGAUAAAAGCUUACCAAGCCGACGAUCUGUAGCUGGUCUGAGAGGACGAUCAGCCACACUGGGACUGGGACACGGCCCAGAAUCCGACGGGAGGCAGCAGUGGGGAAUUUUGGACAAUGUGCGAAAGCCUGAUCCAGCAAUGCCGCGUGCAGGAUGAAGGCCUUCGGGUUGUAAACUGCUGUUGUACGGAACGAAAAGCCCCGGGUUAAUGCCCUGGGGUCAUGACGGUACCGUAAGAAUAAGCACCGGCUAACUACGUGCCAGCCGCCGCCGUAA
rnacentral:rRNA from 1 species